CCUACGGGAGGCAGCAGUGGGGAAUAUUGGACAAUGGGGGGAACCCUGAUCCAGCAAUGCCGCGUGAGUGAUGAAGGCCUUAGGGUUGUAAAGCUCUUUUACCAGGGAUGAUAAUGACAGUACCUGGAGAAUAAGCUCCGGCUAACUCCGUGCCAGCAGCCGCGGUAAUACGGAGGGAGCUAGCGUUGUUCGGAAUUACUGGGCGUAAAGCGCACGUAGGCGGUUACUCAAGUCAGAGGUGAAAGCCCGGGGCUCAACCCCGGAACUGCCUUUGAAACUAGGUAACUAGAAUCCUGGAGAGGUGAGUGGAAUUCCGAGUGUAGAGGUGAAAUUCGUAGAUAUUCGGAAGAACACCAGUGGCGAAGGCGGCUCACUGGACAGGUAUUGACGCUGAGGCGCGAAAGCGUGGGGAGCAAACAGGAUUAGAUACCCUGGUAGUCCACGCCGUAAACGAUGAUAACUAGCUGUCCGGGCACAUGGUGUUUGGGUGGCGCAGCUAACGCAUUAAGUUAUCCGCCUGGGGAUACGGGUCGCAAGAUUAAAACUCAAAGGAAUUGACGG
rnacentral:rRNA from 1 species